ensembl:snRNA U6 U6 spliceosomal RNA
GUGCUCACUUUGGCAGCACAUAUACUAAAAUUGGAAUGAUAUAGAGAAGAUCAGCAUGGCCCCUGAUCAAGGAUGACAUGCAAAUUCGUAAAGCAUUCCAUAUUUUU